rfam:Picea glauca, whole genome shotgun sequence.
GAGAGCACAAUACGAUGAGAGUUGUGAGUUGUGUUCGGGGGGGAGUUAUUUUCUAUUGUUGGCCUCUAUGGUAGAAUCAGUCGGGGAGGCCUGUGAGACGAUGGUUUACCCUAU